rnacentral:rRNA from 1 species
AAUAGAUACCCAGGUAGUCCACGCCGUAAACGAUGAGUGCUAAGUGUUAGAGGGUUUCCGCCCUUUAGUGCUGCAGCUAACGCAUUAAGCACUCCGCCUGGGGAGUACGGCCGCAAGGCUGAAACUCAAAGGAAUUGACGGGGGCCCGCACAAGCGGUGGAGCAUGUGGUUUAAUUCGAAGCAACGCGAAGAACCUUACCAGGUCUUGACAUCCUCUGACAACCCUAGAGAUAGGGCUUUCCCCUUCGGGGGACAGAGUGACAGGUGGUGCAUGGUUGUCGUCAGCUCGUGUCGUGAGAUGUUGGGUUAAGUCCCGCAACGAGCGCAACCCUUGAUCUUAGUUGCCAGCAUUCAGUUGGGCACUCUAAGGUGACUGCCGGUGACAAACCGGAGGAAGGUGGGGAUGACGUCAAAUCAUCAUGCCCCUUAUGACCUGGGCUACACACGUGCUACAAUGGAUGGUACAAAGGGCUGCAAACCUGCGAAGGUAAGCGAAUCCCAUAAAGCCAUUCUCAGUUCGGAUUGCG